AAGGAUUCCCGUAGUAACUGCGAGUGAAGUGGGAAGAGCUCAAAUUUGAAAUCUGGCAGUCUCUGGCUGUCUGAGUUGUAAUCUAGAGAAGUGUUACCUGCGCUGGACCGUGUACAAGUCUCCUGGAACGGAGCGUCAUAGAGGGUGAGAAUCCCGUCUCUGGCAUGGACUACCAGGGCUUUGUGGUAUGCUCUCGAAGAGUCGAGUUGUUUGGGAAUGCAGCUCAAAAUGGGUGGUAAACUCCAUCUAAAGCUAAAUACUGGCGAGAGACCGAUAGUGAACAAGUACCGUGAGGGAAAGAUGAAAAGAACUUUGGAAAGAGAGUUAAAUAGUACGUGAAAUUGCUGAAAGGGAAACGCUUGAAGUCAGUCGCGUUGGCUGGGGAUCAGCCUCACUCAUUUGUGUGGUGUAUUUCCCAGUUGACGGGUCAGCAUCAAUUUUGACCACUGGAGAAAGGCUUGAGGAAUGUGGCAGCCAUGGCUGUGUUAUAGCUUCUUGUCAGAUACGGUGGUUGAGAUUGAGGUGUGCAGCACGCCGCAAGGCCGGGGCUUUUAAACCCACGUCCGUGCUUAGGAUGUUGACAUAAUGGCUUUA
rnacentral:rRNA from 1 species